UACGUAGGGGGCGAGCGUUGUCCGGAUUUAUUGGGCGUAAAGAGCUCGUAGGCGGUUUGGUAAGUUGGAUGUGAAAUCUCCAGGCUCAACUUGGAGGGGUCAUUCGAUACUGCCAUGACUAGAGUUCGGUAGGGGAGUGUGGAAUUCCUGGUGGAGCGGUGAAAUGCGCAGAUAUCGGGAGGAACACCAGUGGCGAAGGCGGCUUCCUGGCCUGUUCUUGACGCUGAGGCGCGAAAGCUAGGGGAGCAAACGGG
rnacentral:rRNA from 1 species